rnacentral:tRNA from 2 species
GGGCGAGUGGUGGAAUGGUAGACACGCUAGGUUUAGGACCUAGUGGGAGCAAUCCCGUGAAGGUUCAAGUCCUUUCUCGCCCACCA